rnacentral:rRNA from 1 species
UACAGAGGCCCCAAGCAUUAUCCGGAUUUACUGGGCGUAAAGGGUGCGUAGGCGGUUAUAUUAGUCAGGUGUUAAAUCCUGGGGCUCAACCCCAGAACUGCAUUUGAAACGGUAUAACUAGAAUGAGUCAGAGGCAAGCAGAACUCACGGUGUAGGGGUGAAAUCCGUUGAUAUCGUGGGGAAUACCAAAUGCGAAGGCAGCUUGCUGGGACUUUAUUGACGCUGAGGCACGAAAGCGUGGGUAGCGAAUCGG